rnacentral:rRNA from 1 species
UACGUAGGGUGCAAGCGUUGUCCGGAAUUAUUGGGCGUAAAGAGCUCGUAGGCGGUCUGUCGCGUCGGCUGUGAAAACUUGGGGCUCAACCCCAAGCCUGCAGUCGAUACGGGCAGACUAGAGUGCGGUAGGGGAGACUGGAAUUCCUGGUGUAGCGGUGAAAUGCGCAGAUAUCAGGAGGAACACCGAUGGCGAAGGCGGGUCUCUGGGCCGUAACUGACGCUGAGGAGCGAAAGCGUGGGGAGCAAACAGG